CCUUACUGCUAUCGGGAUGAGACUAAGCCAUGCAUGUCGAGCGCUCUUCAGCUAUGUAGAGAGCGCGGCGAACGGCUCAAUAACACGUAGUUAACCUACCCUCGGGAUGGGAAUAACCCCGGGAAACUGGGAUUAAUGCCCACUAGAUGAUUAUACCUGGAAUGGCUUAUCAUCGAAAGAGUCUGGAAACAUGCUUCCAGCGUCGCCCGAGGAUGGGACCGCGUCCGAUCAGGUAGUUGGUGGGGUAAUGGCCUACCAAGCCUAUAACCGGUACGGGCCCUGAGAGGGGGAGCCCGGUGAUGGAAACUGAGAAAAGGUUCCAGGCCCUACGGGGUGCAGCAGGCGCGAAACCUCCACAAUGCGCGAAAGCGUGAUGGGGUUAUCCCGAGUGCCGUCCGAUGAGGAUGGCUUUUAAUCGAUGUAAGGAUUCGAUAGAAUAAAGGGGGGGCAAGACUGGUGUCAGCCGCCGGGGUAAUACCAGCCCCCUGAGUGGUAAGGACGAUUAUUUGGCCUAAAGCGUUCGUAGCCGGCUUAUCAAGUCUUUUGUUAAAUCCAACGAUUCAAUCGUUGGGCCGCAAAAGAUACUGUUAUGCUAGAGGACGGGAGAGGUCGACGGUAGUCCAGGGGUAGGGGUGAAAUCCUAUAAUCCUUGGAGGACCACCAGUGGCGAAGGCGGUCGACUAGAACGUGCCUGACGGUGAGGGACGAAAGCUGGGGGAGCGAACCGGAUUAGAUACCCGGGUAGUCCCAGCUGUAAACGAUGCGGGCUAGGUGUUGGGGCAGCCACGAGCUGCUCCAGUGCCGCAGAGAAGUUGUUAAGCCCGCCGCCUGGGGAGUACGGCCGCAAGGCUGAAACUUAAAGGAAUUGGCGGGGGAGCACCACAAGGGGUGAAGGCUGCGGUUUA
rnacentral:rRNA from 1 species